GACGGAGGAUGCAAGUGUUAUCCGGAAUCACUGGGCGUAAAGCGUCUGUAGGUGGUUCGAAAAGUCCACUGUUAAAAAUUGAGGCUUAACUUCAAAGAUGCCGUGGAAACUUUCAAACUAGAGUAUGGUAGGGGUAGGGGGAAUUUCCAGUGGAGCGGUGAAAUGCGUAGAGAUCGGGAAGAACAUCGGUGGCGAAAGCGCUCUACUGGACCGCAACUGACACUCAGGGACGAAAGCUAGGGGAGCGAAUGGG
rnacentral:rRNA from 1 species